GCCACCUGGGAGGCUGAGAUGAGAGGAGUGCUUAUGCCCUGGAGGUCAACGCUGCAGUGAGCUGUGAUUGCACCACUGCACUCCACCUGACAGAGUGACACCCCCCCAUCUCUAAAAAAUAAAAAAAAAAAAGUGGGAAGAACAAUCACACCACGGUUUAACUGAUCAGCUACGAUGGGAACUGUGAAAGGCAUUCCACAGAGUGAAUCAAGGCUUCAGGAGGAGGCCCUGACUUAUCCUGGAGGCAGAGGGUUCUCCCAGGAAUGGCGUCUUAGCUGAAGCCUGACCCAGAAGGUAGACGGGCAGGAACGAGGUAAUGUGGAGACUGUUGGGAGCAGGCAAGGACUUCAUCCCAAGGCAAUGGGAGGCCCUCUGUACUCCCUCUUGUGAUAACUGCUUCCCUUCUUUCGGGCAGUGCUCCUGACCCCACUCUAGCUGUGUGGGUGGGUCCCUACCUGGUUGAGUCAACCAGAUCCCAUCCCUGGGAUUUUAAACUUGGAACCAGAAGGAGAGUGAUCAUCACCUCUUUUCUAGGGUGAAUCAAUGAGAAGUGAGGCUCCGAAGCUUGGAUCUCAAGUUCACAGAAGCAGCUGGUUGAGGGUGAAGCUUGCACACAGAGGCCAAGGAAGGAUGCCUACCCAUGUCCAGCUGCCCCAGGGCCCUUUCAGGACUGCUAUUUUGAGCCCCUUCCUUCCUUAACUGGUUUGAAUUGGUCACCGUCACUUGCAACCUAUUGAGUCCUAGCUAAUGUACCAUGACAGGGUUCAAGACUUGGUCAGAGAAGAGCUGGGGUAUAGGAUGCUGGGGAAGGGUACCCAUUAAUCCUCCCUUCUAAGUGGUAACUGAGAGAAUGAACAAGAACAAUAUACAGUUAAAUGAAAAUAAAAAGGCACAGUGGCUCAAGCCUAUAAUCCCAGCACUUUGGGAGGCCGAGGCAGGCAGAUCACAAGGUCAGGAGUUCGAGACCAGCCUAACCAACAUGGUGAAACCCCAUCUCUACUAAAAUUACAAGAAUUAGCCAGGCGUGAUGGCGCGCCACCUGUAAUCCCAGCUGCUCAGGAGGCUGAGCAGGAGAAUCACUUGAACCCGGGAGGCGGAAGUUGCAGUGAGCUGAGAUCAUGCCACUGCACUCCAGCCUGGGCGACAGAGCAAGACUCCGUCUUAAAAAAAAAAAAAAAGAAAAUAAACACAGACGCUUUAAGGAUCAGUUAACAACAAGACACAGACUCUAAUAUUCACUGACAUAAAGUUUCAGAAAGGGCAAAAUUAAUCUCUGGUGACAGGGGCCAGAACAGUGAUGACCUGGGGUGGGGUGUGGGUUGGUCUCUCCUGUGAGGUUUGGAAGGGCAGGUACACACGCGUGUGCACUUACCAAAACCUACUGCACUGUGCAUCCGACUGCACUGAUGUCCCUGGCUUCUUUGAGGCAACUUGGGUGACAGGCCACUGGAGGAAGCUGGGGCAGAAUGGGAGGGAAGCUGGCCCCUCACAUGAAUACGGGGAAUUAGGAAGUGUUUUCUCCUCCACAAUGUUUGGGAGAAUUUGGGGAUUUAUGUCCAUUCUUUAGCAUUUGGUAGAAUUCACCAUCUGGUCCUGGGCUUUUCUUUUGUUGGGAAGCUUUUGAUGACUGGUUCUACCUAUGUGUUUUAGGUUGGUUCAGAUUUUUUCCUUUUUCUUCUUUUUUUGAGGUCAGGUCUCUGUCUCUGCCUCAUUCCUGGCUGGAGUGCAGUGGUGCUGUCAUAGGUCGUUGCAGCUUUGAACUCCUGGGCUCUAGCUAUCCUCCUGCUUCAGCCUCCCAAGUAGCUGGGGCUACAGGCACGUGCCAUGACACCUGGUUGAUUUCUAAAGAUUUUGUCGAGGCAGGGUCUCUGUUGCCCAGGCUGGUCUCGAACUCCUGGCCUCAGGCCAUCCUCCUAACUAGUUCUCCCCAAGUGCUGGGAUCACAGGUGUGAGCCACUGCACCUGGCCCUGUUCAGAUUUUCUAUUUUUCCUGGGACAAUUUUGGUCAUUUGUAUCUUUCUAGGAAUUUUUUUGUUGUUGUUUUGAGACAGAGUCUCACUCUGUCACCCAAGCUGGAGUGCAAUGGCAUGAUCUCAGCUCACUGCAACCUCUGCCUCCUGGGUUCAAGUGAUUUUCCUGCCUCAGCCUCGUGAAUAGCUGGGAUUACAGGUGUGAGCCACCACGCCUGGCUAAUUUUUGUGUUUUUAGUAGAGACAGGGUUUCACCACUUUGGCCAGGUUGGUCUCGAACUUCUGACCUCAGGUGAUCUGCCUGCCUCGGCCUCCCAAAGUGCCGCGAUUACAGGCGUGAGCCACCACACCCAGCCAAGAUGUCGCAUCUUUUUAAAUGUUGGCAUUUGCAGCUAUAAAUUUCCCUCAGAGCAGUUUUUGCCGCAUUCCUUAAGUUCUGGUAUGUUGUUUUCAUCCAUCUCUAUUUCCUAAUUUUUCUCGUGAUUUCUCCUUUGACCCUUUGGCUGUUAAAAAGUGUGUUCAAUUUCUAUGUAUGUGUGAAUUUUCAUUUUCCUUCUGGUAUGGAUUUCUGGUUUUAUUCCAUUGUGAUUGGAGAAGGUGGUUUGCAGGAUUCCGAUCUCUAAUUUACUGAGACUUGCUUUGUGCACUAACGUGUGGUCUGUCCUGGAGAACGUUCCCUGUGCACUUAGAAACGUGUGUUCUGCUGCUAUUGGGUGGAGCACUGUUAAGUCUGGUCAGCCUUUUGGUUUUUAUGUAAUACUUGGCACAUUCACAAGAAAAUGUGUGAAACAGAAAGUACGACAAAGUGAAACCCACGAAGCCACCACUGACCCUGAGGUUCAAAACCUCCAGCAUCUCUGCUCUUCCCUAAGCACAGCUCCGUCCCCUCCCCACGGGUGAGCACUGUGUUGUACUGACUCCCUGCCCUCCCUGAUGACUUUAGCACCUGGGUAUGAAUUCCACACAUAUUUGGUUUUGAGCUUUAUAAAAAUGGCAUCAUACUGUAUGAACUGUCUUGCUUUUUCAUCCCACGUUGUUUCUGAGAGGUGUUUGUGAUGGAGCACAGGGCCAC
rnacentral:lncRNA from 1 species